rnacentral:lncRNA from 11 species
UCUGAAGAGGCACAAAUGGAGGGCGAAAGGGAGAAACAUGCCAAGAGGAAGGAGCAUCAAGCCAACCCUGACCAGGACCGCCUUCCAUCUGUACACCGAUUUCCUCACUGUGGAAGAACAUGCGGGCCAAGAAUAGGGCUCCACAGUCACUUACAUACCCACUGCCAGAACACUACACCUGGAAGACAAUCAUCCUCAGACAAUAAGGGAUUGCCUAAAAAUUCCAAGCAAACCACUCAGGCAUAAUUCUUUCUGGGCAGAAAGCCGGUUGUGAGAAGCCGGUUGUUGACUGCAGCUUCC